AGAGUUUGAUCAUGGCUCAGGACGAACGCUGGCGGCGUGCUUAACACAUGCAAGUCGAACGAAGCUUGAUUACGGAUUCUUCGGAUGAAGUAUGAUAUGACUGAGUGGCGGACGGGUGAGUAACGCGUGAGUAACCUGCCCUUCAGAGGGGGAUAGCGUUUGGAAACGAACGGUAAUACCGCAUAAUGUAUUUUGACCGCAUGAUCGAAAUACCAAAGAUUUAUCGCUGAAGGAUGGACUCGCGUCUGAUUAGGUAGUUGGUGGGGUAACGGCCUACCAAGCCGACGAUCAGUAGCCGGACUGAGAGGUUGAUCGGCCACAUUGGGACUGAGACACGGCCCAGACUCCUACGGGAGGCAGCAGUGGGGAAUAUUGCACAAUGGGCGCAAGCCUGAUGCAGCAACGCCGCGUGAAGGAAGACGGUUUUCGGAUUGUAAACUUCUGUUCUUAGUGAAGAAUAAUGACGGUAGCUAAGGAGCAAGCCACGGCUAACUACGUGCCAGCAGCCGCGGUAGUACGUAGGUGGCAAGCGUUGUCCGGAAUUACUGGGUGUAAAGGGAGCGCAGGCGGGUGAUCAAGUCAGCUGUGAAAACUACGGGCUUAACCCGUAGACUGCAGUUGAAACUGUUCAUCUUGAGUGAAGUAGAGGUUGGCGGAAUUCCGAGUGUAGCGGUGAAAUGCGUAGAUAUUCGGAGGAACACCGGUGGCGAAGGCGGCCAACUGGGCUUUAACUGACGCUGAGGCUCGAAAGUGUGGGGAGCAAACAGGAUUAGAUACCCUGGUAGUCCACACUGUAAACGAUGAUUGCUAGGUGUGGGGGGUCUGACCCCUUCCGUGCCGGAGCUAACGCAAUAAGCAAUCCACCUGGGGAGUACGACCGCAAGGUUGAAACUCAAAGGAAUUGACGGGGGCCCGCACAAGCGGAGGAACAUGUGGUUUAAUUCGAUGAUACGCGAGGAACCUUACCCGGGCUUGAAUUGCAGAGGAAGGAUUGGAGACAAUGACGCCCUUCGGGGCCUCUGUGAAGGUGCUGCAUGGUUGUCGUCAGCUCGUGCCGUGAGGUGUCGGCUUAAGUGCCAUAACGAGCGCAACCCCUCUCCUUAGUUGCCAUCAGGUUAAGCUGGGCACUCUGGGGACACUGCCACCGUAAGGUGUGAGGAAGGUGGGGAUGACGUCAAAUCAGCACGGCCCUUACGUCCGGGGCUACACACGUGUUACAAUGGCAGGUACAGAGAGACGGUUGUACGUAAGUACGAUCAAAUCCUUAAAGCCUGUCUCAGUUCGGACUGGGGUCUGCAACCCGACCCCACGAAGCUGGAUUCGCUAGUAAUCGCGCAUCAGCCAUGGCGCGGUGAAUACGUUCCCGGGCCUUGUACACACCGCCCGUCAAGCCAUGAAAGCCGGGGGCGCCUAAAGUCCGUGACCGUAAGGAGCGGCCUAGGGCGAAACUGGUAAUUGGGGCUAAGUCGUAACAAGGUA
rnacentral:rRNA from 1 species